UACGUAGGGGGCAAGCGUUGUCCGGAUUUAUUGGGCGUAAAGGGCGCGUAGGCGGCCAACUAAGUCAGACGUGAAAUCCCUCGGCUUAACCGGGGAACUGCAUCUGAUACUGGAUGGCUUGAGUUCGGGAGAGGGAUGCGGAAUUCCAGGUGUAGCGGUGAAAUGCGUAGAUAUCAGGAAGAACACCGGUGGCGAAGGCGGCAUCCUGGACCGGCAUUGACGCUGAGGCGCGAAAGCCAGGGGAGCAAACGGG
rnacentral:rRNA from 1 species